ACCGUCGUAUGAUGCGAUGGGGGGACGGAUCGCGGAAGGUUGUCCAACUGUUGGAAUAGUUGGUUUCUGGUUCAGAGAAGGCACUUAGGCAAAUCCGGGUGCGGAAUUCAAGGGACUGGGACGAGCGCCUUUAUGGUGCGAAGCAAUCGGAAGUGGUUCCAAGAAAAGCCUCUAAGCUUCAGUCAUACGAGACCGUACCGCAAACCGACACAGGUGGGCGAGAUGAGUAUU
rnacentral:rRNA from 1 species